GAUGAACGCUGGCGGCGUGCCUAAUACAUGCAAGUCGAGCGAACGGACGAUAAGAUCGUUCCCCUGCUGUUAGCGGCGGACGGGUGAGUAACACGUGGAUCACCUACUUAUAUUACUGGGAUAAUUUCGGGAAACCGCAGCCAAUACUGGAUCAUACUUUGAACCGCAUGGAUCAAAAGUGAAAGACGGUUUUGCCGUCUCUUUUAGAUGGAUCCGCGCUGGCUUAGCUAGUUGGUAAGGUAACGGCCUACCAAGGCAACGAUGCAUAGCCGACCUGAGAGGGUGAUCGGCCACCACUGAACUGAGACACGGGCCAGACUCCUACGGGAGGGAGCAGUAGGGAAUCUUCCGCAAUGGGCGGAAGCCUGACGGAGCAACGCCGGGGUGGUUAUGAAGGUCUUCGGAUCUGAAAACUCUGUUAGUAGGGAAGAACAUAUGUGAAGGUAACUGUGCACAGCUUGACGGUAACUAAUCAGAAAGCCACGGCUAACUACGUU
rnacentral:rRNA from 1 species